rnacentral:tRNA from 2 species
GCCCCCAUCGUCCAGCGGCCCAGGACGCCGCCCUUUCAAGGCGGUAACGGGGAUUCGAAUUCCCCUGGGGGCAC